CCGCACUAGUCGGGGAGUUAGCGGUGCCCUGUACCUGCAACCCGCUGCAGCAGGGAUGAAUCCCGGCCCCCGGACGCAUACUGUACCGUCUGACCGUCUUAAGCAGUGAUGAUGGACCGGUCCCACGCAACGGGAUCCCGUGAACCGUGUCAGGUGGGGAACCAAGCAGCACUAAGCGGAUCUUCCCGUGUGCCGUGGGGAUGCCGUUUCUGAGCCGGCUGGGCCGGUAACGGGUAUAGUAUGUGCUUCAAAGGCCGGUGUGCGG
rnacentral:SRP_RNA from 1 species